CAUUCUCUAUUUCCUCUCUCUCUCUCUCUCUCUCUCUCUCUCUCUCUCUCUCUCUCUCCCACCCACUCCUUCAAAAUGCAGGAGAUAUACCGAAACCCCCAUCCCUUCCUUUCUCCACUCCUCUCCUUCAUCCCACACCCUAAAUCUACAAAAACCCCUUCAACCAGCCGAGCCCUAGAUCUGUAGAAACCCCUUCAACCAACUGAUCCCUAGAUCUGUAGAAAGCCCUUCGACCAACCAAAAUGCAUUCCCAAAACUUGCUCUCUCAAAAGCAUUUCUAGGGGAGGCUACUUCCCCAACGCAAUCCGAUAUUAUCAAAGAUCCCUCUCUAAGGUGCUUUUAUGCAAAAUCCGAAUAUUCUGAUUCAAAAUCUGCAGAUGGUUGAGAGGUGUACUGGAAAUCCAUAGAAACAGAGAUCAAAUCCCUACUAGAGAAGCUCUUGGACGUCAAGGAUGCAAUGUCUGCUCCUGCAAUCCCUACAACCUCCAUCACCUAGAAGCUUACACGUCACAGAGAGAUACUUUACGUAUUCACUUAAUGAUGCAAUAUGCAGGUUUGCUUUAGUUGCUUUAGGGUUUUGAUUUUGUCUCUAAAAUGGAAUGGUUUGGACUGACGUACAUGUAUGUCAAGUGUGACUAUAUCAGUCAUGCACAUUGUGUUUGACAAAAUGACUGAAAGAAACCAGAAUUAGAAAAGAAAGGGUGCUCUUCUCUUUCCAUUCAUUGACUGGUUUUUUUUUUUUUUUUGGGGGGGGGGGGUAUUGAUAUGAAUUUGGUUUUCUUUACUAUUUUAAGGUGGAAUUAAAGUAAUUGGAUCCUAUUAUGCUACGAUGUUCACUAUCUUGUUCUGAUCUAUCUACCUAUCAUUUAUGAAUGCACAUUCUCUCCCUCCAUUUUCUUGUUUAAAAAACUUUUUUGCCCCAAUCUUUUCAGGAUAGAUGUCCUGUUAGAACUGGUGAUUGAGAACCACUUUUCCCCAAAUGAUGGUACUCUUGAGGUAUGUUAUUGCACCUUAAUUUCUUUCUUAAUAAGAUAAUAUAUCAAAUUCCCCUUUUAUUUUAUUUUAUUUUUUUCUACACAUCAACAGGCAUAUAAUAUAUGUAGGAACUGAUGUCUAAAAAUAUGAUUAUUACUUGACUCUAUCCCUGCUAUAGUUUGAAAUUGGCUAGUAAUAAGGAAUGGGAUGAAGGAGCACAACACAAACAUUUUGGAGAUAGUUCGUUCUUUGGAUCUCCCAAACAAUCCCUUAGAUGAUAUUAUUGAUCAGGGAAUAUUUGAAUUUGGAGGUCUCCUCUUAAGGGUGGAUUCUUGAAGACUAGGUGUUGUUUUGGCUUGAGUUCGUGUUCUGUUUGAAAGCUUUCAAUUUCUAUUUUGGUUGUUGGAUUUGUGGAAAAAUGGCUUGUACGUAGCUGGGAUCGAAAUCUGAUGCAUUCUAACGACAAGGGCAGGCAUGGUACUAGAAGAUGUCUGAUGCUGAGGAUAUUCCAAUCUGGGAUACUUUUUGUCCAUGAGGUCCAUUGUUCAAUGGUUUUGGGAUCACUGAAGCAUGUGCCCCACUUGUGCAAACUGAACAUAUUGUACAAGCUCUCAGCUUAAGCAUUGUAUAAUACCUCUUAGUUAAACCAAUGACCAGGAGAUUCCUCAACAUGAUAUGCUCUAUUGCCCUGAUUUGAUAGUUCAAAAGGAUGAAGAGGUUGAUGGAAAUGUUUCUAAUAGAGUUAAAGAGUUGGGUGGGUGGGUGGGGAGGAGAUGUGCCUCUAUAGUGUUGGGGUUGCAUGCUAAUGAAACAUGAAGGUAGAUUUUUUGUUCUACUCAUUUCUCUUUCAUUAGUAGGUGUAUUUCUUUUCCGAUAGGUCAGUGGUAGAGCUCUGUAGCCAUUUUCUCUAGAUAGUUACAAUAGCUCGAUGGAGGUAAUGUUAUCUUAUCUUGCCAUGUUUUAUUUGUUUGAUCGAUUUGUCACUUUCUUUUCUAUUUGCAAACAAGGUGGGUUGCAUCGGGCGACGUGGUUGAGAAGACUGUUGAGAGGAGGCAGAAGAGGAUGAUCAAGAACAGGGAGUCUGCUGCUCAAUCAGGGGCCAGGAAGCAGGUGGGCCUGUAAA